rnacentral:rRNA from 1 species
GAUGAACGCUGGCGGCGUGCCUAAUACAUGCAAGUCGAGCGAACGGACGAGAAGCUUGCUUCUCUGAUGCUAGCGGCGGACGGGUGAGUAACACGUGGAUAACCUACCUAUAAGACUGGGAUAACUUCGGGAAACCGGAGCUAAUACCGGAUGAUAUUUUGAACCGCAUGGUUCAAAAGUGAAAGACGGUCUUGCUGUCACUUAUAGAUGGAUCCGCGCUGCAUUAGCUAGUUGGUAAGGUAACGGCUUACCAAGGCAACGAUGCAUAGCCGCCCUGAGAGGGUGAUCGGCCACACUGGAACUGAGACACGGUCCAGACUCCUACGGGAGGCAGCAGUAGGGAAUCUUCCGCAAUGGGCGAAAGCCUGACGGAGCAACGCCGCGUGAGUGAUGAAGGUCUUCGGAUCGUAAAACUCUGUUAUUAGGGAAGAACAUAUGUGUAAGUAACUGUGCACAUCUUGACGGUACCUAAUCAGAAAGCCACGGCUAACUACGUG